rnacentral:rRNA from 1 species
GACGAACGCUGGCGGCGUGCUUAACACAUGCAAGUCGAACGGAAAGGCCCUGCUUUUGUGGGGUGCUCGAGUGGCGAACGGGUGAGUAACACGUGAGUAACCUGCCCUUGACUUUGGGAUAACUUCAGGAAACUGGGGCUAAUACCGGAUAGGAGCUCCUGCUGCAUGGUGGGGGUUGGAAAGUUUCGGCGGUUGGGGAUAGACUCGCGGCUUAUCAGCUUGUUGGUGGGGUAGUGGCUUACCAAGGCUUUGACGGGUAGCCGGCCUGAGAGGGUGACCGGCCACAUUGGGACUGAGAUACGGCCCAGACUCCUACGGGAGGCAGCAGUGGGGAAUAUUGCACAAUGGGCGGAAGCCUGACGCAGCAACGCCGCGUGCGGGAUGACGGCCUUCGGGUUGUAAACCGCUUUCGCCUGUGACGAAGCGUGAGUGACGGUGAUGGGUAAAGAAGCACCGGCUAACUACGUGCCAGCAGCCGCGGUGAUACGUAGGGUGCGAGCGUUGUCCGGAUUUAUUGGGCGUAAAGGGCUCGUAGGUGGUUGAUCGCGUCGGAAGUGUAAUCUUGGGGCUUAACCCUGAGCGUGCUUUCGAUACGGGUUGACUUGAGGAAGGUAGGGGAGAAUGGAAUUCCUGGUGGAGCGGUGGAAUGCGCAGAUAUCAGGAGGAACACCAGUGGCGAAGGCGGUUCUCUGGGCCUUUCCUGACGCUGAGGAGCGAAAGCGUGGGGAGCGAACAGGCUUAGAUACCCUGGUAGUCCACGCUGUAAACGGUGGGUACUAGGUGUGGGGUCCAUUCCACGGGUUCCGUGCCGUAGCUAACGCUUUAAGUACCCCGCCUGGGGAGUACGGCCGCAAGGCUAAAACUCAAAGGAAUUGACGGGGCCCCGCACAAGCGGCGGAGCAUGCGGAUUAAUUCGAUGCAACGCGUAGAACCUUACCUGGGUUUGACAUAGAUCGGGAGUGCUCAGAGAUGGGUGUGCCUCUUUUGGGGUCGGUUCACAGGUGGUGCAUGGCUGUCGUCAGCUCGUGUCGUGAGAUGUUGGGUUAAGUCCCGCAACGAGCGCAACCCUUGUUCACUGUUGCCAGCACGUUAUGGUGGGGACUCAGUGGAGACCGCCGGGGUCAACUCGGAGGAAGGUGGGGAUGACGUCAAGUCAUCAUGCCCCUUAUGUCCAGGGCUUCACGCAUGCUACAAUGGCUGGUACAGAGAGUGGCGAGCCUGUGAGGGUGAGCGAAUCUCGGAAAGCCGGUCUCAGUUCGGAUUGGGGUCUGCAACUCGACCUCAUGAAGUCGGAGUCGCUAGUAAUCGCAGAUCAGCAACGCUGCGGUGAAUACGUUCCCGGG